rnacentral:rRNA from 1 species
UUUAAUUCGAUGAUACGCGAGGAACCUUACCUAGGCUAGAAUGCGCGUGACCGGGUCAGAGAUGGCCCUUUCCUUCGGGACACAAAGCAAGGUGCUGCAUGGCCGUCGUCAGCUCGUGCCGUGAGGUGUUGGGUUAAGUCCCGCAACGAGCGCAACCCCUACAGUUAGUUGCCAGCGGGUCAAGCCGGGGACUCUAGCUGGACUGCCUGCGCAAGCGGUGAGGAAGGCGGGGACGACGUCAGGUCAUCAUGGCCCUUACGCCUAGGGCGACACACGUGCUACAAUGGCCGGUACAGCGGGUAGCUACCAGGUGACUGGAUGCCAAUCUCGAAAAGCCGGUCUCAGUUCGGAUUGGAGUCUGCAACUCGACUCCAUGAAGCUGGAAUCACUAGUAAUCGCGCAUCAGCCAUGGCG